rnacentral:snRNA from 8 species
GAUUGCAUAAUUUCUGGUAGUGGGGGACUGCGUUCGCGCUCUCCCCUG